rnacentral:tRNA from 1 species
GUCUCCGUAGCUCAGAUGGAUAGAGCGCAAGCCUCCUAAGCCUGAGGCCCCCGGUUCGAAUCCGGGCGGGGACGCCA